rnacentral:rRNA from 1 species
AGUGAACGCUGGCGGUAGGCCUAACACAUGCAAGUCGAACGGCAGCGCAGUAAGAGCUUGCUCUUACGGGUGGCGAGUGGCGGACGGGUGAGGAAUACAUCGGAAUCUACUUUUUCGUGGGGGAUAACGUAGGGAAACUUACGCUAAUACCGCAUACGACCUACGGGUGAAAGCAGGGGAUCUUCGGACCUUGCGCGAUUGAAUGAGCCGAUGUCGGAUUAGCUAGUUGGCGGGGUAAAGGCCCACCAAGGCGAUGAUCCGUAGCUGGUCUGAGAGGAUGAUCAGCCACACUGGAACUGAGACACGGUCCAGACUCCUACGGGAGGCAGCAGUGGGGAAUAUUGGACAAUGGGCGCAAGCCUGAUCCAGCCAUACCGCGUGGGUGAAGAAGGCCUUCGGGUUGUAAAGCCCUUUUGUUGGGAAAGAAAAGCAGCAGGUUAAUACCCCGCUGUUCUGACGGUACCCAAAGAAUAAGCACCGGCUAACUUCGUG